rnacentral:rRNA from 1 species
UGGGGAAUAUUGCACAAUGGGCGAAAGCCUGAUGCAGCAACGCCGCGUGAGUGAUGAAGGUCUUCGGAUUGUAAAGCUCUGUCUUUUGGGACGAUAAUGACGGUACCAAAGGAGGAAGCCACGGCUAACUACGUGCCAGCAGCCGCGGUAAUACGUAGGUGGCGAGCGUUGUCCGGAUUUACUGGGCGUAAAGGGUGCGUAGGCGGAUGUUUAAGUGAGAUGUGAAAUACCCGGGCUUAACUUGGGUGCUGCAUUUCAAACUGGAUAUCUAGAGUGCAGGAGAGGAGAAUGGAAUUCCUAGUGUAGCGGUGAAAUGCGUGGAGAUUAGGAAGAACACCAGUGGCGAAGGCGAUUCUCUGGACUGUAACUGACGCUGAGGCACGAAAGCGUGGGUAGCAAACAGGAUUAGAUACCCUGGUAGUCCACGCCGUAAACGAUGAGUACUAGGUGUAGGAGGUAUCGACCCCUUCUGUGCCGCAGUAAACACAUUAAGUACUCCGCCUGGGAAGUACGAUCGCAAGAUUAAAAC